UCCUCGGUGACUUGGAAUCCGAAGGAAGCUGGCGGCAAAAUCUCGACCUUACGGACAGGAACUGCAUAAAAGGCUGUACAUGGAGGACAAAGCUGCAAAUCAAGUUUAAGUCCUAUAACUAUCCGAAUCCAAGUAUGGUAAAUGCAGAGGACACAUGAGAUGAAAGCGUACUUC
rfam:Human gut metagenome DNA, contig sequence: F2-Y_006580.